rnacentral:rRNA from 1 species
ACGGGAGGCAGCAGUGGGGAAUAUUGGGCAAUGGGCGAAAGCCUGACCCAGCGACGCCGCGUGAGGGAAGAAGGUCUUCGGAUUGUAAACCUCUUUCAGCAGGGAAGAUAAUGACGGUACCUGCAGAAGAAGCCACGGCUAACUACGUGCCAGCAGCCGCGGUAAUACGUAGGUGGCGAGCGUUAUCCGGAUUUACUGGGUGUAAAGGGUGUGUAGGCGGGACUGCAAGUCAGAUGUGAAAAUCAUGGGCUCAACUCAUGACCUGCAUUUGAAACUGUGGUUCUUGAGGGUCGGAGAGGUAACUGGAAUUCCUGGUGUAGCGGUGAAAUGCGUAGAUAUCAGGAGGAACACCGGUGGCGAAGGCGGGUUACUGGACGAUUACUGACGCUGAGACACGAAAGCGUGGGGAGCAAACAGGAUUAGAUACCCUGGUA